GGCACUUGGAGGAUCUGCUGGAAGGAGGAGCGGCAUUGUUUGGCUUGAGCGUGAUGCAGCUCAGGCAGGCAGCUUGCCAACAUCUGUAGCCUAAACAGAGCAGAGCAAGUUGCAAGCAGCGAACAGAGAAGGGAACAGAGGAGCAUUCUGCUCAUGGCUUCCGAAGCAAAGCAAAACUGCAAGUGGAAAGCUGAUCCAGCUACUGUGCCACGUUGAUGGAGGUUCUCCCUAUGAUCUGAAUUAUUUCAUAGAGAAGAAAAACAAGCUGCACAGGGCAGAAUGGUAUUGAAUGUUAUAAUAUGGAGCCCCAUCAAUGGAUUAAUAUUGGGCAUUUGCACCAACUGUACAGUAUACCUGACUACCUAGAAGGCCUCGCCCAGCCCUCCUAGAAGACUCAUACAUCAAUAUUUUAAUUGCAUGGUAUAUAGCUCUUCGAAGAAGAGCAUAA